GCCGGGCCCGCCGCCCGGCUCCCUCCCGUCUGCGCCUGGAAGCUGGCCUUGCUGUAGGGCGGUGGCUCCGCCCGGCCCGCGGCCAGCCUCUCCGCCUCUCUGUUUAACGACGAUUCUGCCCUUGAAGUUCAGCGCAGAUAAAAAGGCAGCAUUCGUUUUUAUUUUAGAGAGGAAAAGGAGGGCGGAAAAAAGGGACCGAGGUGCGUGGCGAGGCCUGGGGGAGGCGCGAGAACAGGAGAGGAGGCCGCUGGGACAAGAGGGGCUUUGAGAGCCGAAUUUCCUAUUUGGGUACCAGGCAGGGAAGGUCCCUGUUUCAUAAUUUAAGUUUCAUGAUGGACAUUGUGAUUGAAGACCCAUUUCAUAAUCAAGUUUCUCUGGAUCUUCAAGAUCCUCAGGCAGGAGGCAGGAUGGGAACUGGACUCCUAGAAGGCGUCUCUCUGUAAGGAUGAGCUUUGGGGACGGCGAGACGCGAUAUCCGGUGCCACGUCAGCAGAAGGCGACGAGCAAAUUGGGCGCCCCUCGCCCCUUGUUUAUUUUCCUUCUCCCCAAGAUGGAUUUAGGUGGUGGGGCGUUUUAGGGUU